UACGAAGGGGGCUAGCGUUGUUCGGAAUUACUGGGCGUAAAGCGCACGUAGGCGGGUUGUUUAAGUCAGGGGUGAAAUCCUGGAGCUCAACUCCAGAACUGCCUUUGAUACUGGCAACCUAGAGACUGGAAGAGGUUAGUGGAAUUCCCAGUGUAGAGGUGAAAUUCGUAGAUAUUGGGAAGAACACCAGUGGCGAAGGCGGCUAACUGGUCCAGCACUGACGCUGAGGUGCGAAAGCGUGGGGAGCAAACAGG
rnacentral:rRNA from 1 species